CGUGAGGAACCUGCCUCGGAGUGGGGAAUAACAUACCGAAAGGUGUGCUAAUACCGCAUAAUGCAGUUGAGUCGCAUGACUCUGACUGCCAAAGAUUUAUCGCUCUGAGAUGGCCUCGCGUCUGAUUAGCUAGUUGGCGGGGUAACGGCCCACCAAGGCGACGAUCAGUAGCCGGACUGAGAGGUUGACCGGCCACAUUGGGACUGAGACACGGCCCAG
rnacentral:rRNA from 1 species